rnacentral:rRNA from 1 species
AGGAUAAACGCUGGCGGCGUGCUUAACACAUGCAAGUCGAACGGAGUGGUUCUCCCGAGGAUUGACGGUGCUUGCACCUGAUUGACUCAUUGAAUCACUUAGUGGCGGACGGGUGAGUAACGCGUGGGUAACCUGCCUCACACUGGGGGAUAGCAGUUGGAAACGACUGAUAAUACCGCAUAAGCGCACAGUACCGCAUGGUACAGUGUGAAAAACUCCGGUGGUGUGAGAUGGACCCGCGUCUGAUUAGCUAGUUGGUGAGGUAACGGCCCACCAAGGCGACGAUCAGUAGCCGGCCUGAGAGGGUGUACGGCCACAUUGGGACUGAGACACGGCCCAAACUCCUACGGGAGGCAGCAGUGGGGAAUAUUGGACAAUGGGGGCAACCCUGAUCCAGCCGACGCCGCGUGAGCGAAGAAGUAUUUCGGUAUGUAAAGCUCUAUCAGCAGGGAAGAUAAUGACGGUACCUGACUAAGAAGCACCGGCUAAAUACGUGCCAGCCGCCGC